GUGGCCUGCAGCACCUGGUAAACAGAAAGGAUAGAUUUAAUUGAAGGACUCCUUUUAUUGCAAGGCAAUUGACAAAUGUUACCAGAAAAUAAACUCCCACCAUUCCCAAGUGAACGGAUUUCAAUCUGGUGGAACAGGCUAGACUACACGGAACUACACUGAUUCUGACGUGAGUCAGCAGAGGGAACAAAAGGACUGAGAUACUUAGAAACUCUAGUGAGUAGGCAAGUCAAGGUGCUUUACAUAUCUCAAAUUC
rnacentral:lncRNA from 1 species